rnacentral:rRNA from 1 species
CCAAAAACUUUUGUAAGGCGGAAGUCUUGACUGACGCAGAGACUAAUUAACGGCCGCGGUAUUUUGACCGUGCGUAAGGUAGCGCAAUCACUUGUCUUUUAAUGAGACCUGUAUGAUGGUGCACGAGGCUUACUGUCUGCCCUUCGAGUCAAUGAAUUGAUCUGCCCGUGCAGAGCGGACAUAAAAUACAGACGAGUAGACCCUUUGAGCUUAAGAUACCAGAUCAACUAUGUCAGACCUAAACGUGAACUAAUAGCAGCUGGUCCCUAUCUUCGGUGUGACGACUGGGGAGAAAACAGGUCCCAGGCGGACUGGGCACCCUAGACAGGAGUAUUUCUAGUCCGAAGCGACUCUAUAUUCGACAGCACACAAGACAGUUACUAGUACGCACUCCUCUCGUCCAUCGAGGUUAACUCUAUGUCGAGCCAUGCCCCCUUAGUGUGUACAUAGAGCAAUUG